rnacentral:rRNA from 1 species
UACGAAGGGUGCUAGCGUUGCUCGGAAUCACUGGGCGUAAAGCGCACGUAGGCGGACUCUUAAGUCGGUGGUGAAAUCCUGGAGCUCAACUCCAGAACUGCCUUCGAUACUGGGAGUCUCGAGUCCGGGAGAGGUGAGUGGAACUGCGAGUGUAGAGGUGAAAUUCGUAGAUAUUCGCAAGAACACCAGUGGCGAAGGCGGCUCCCUGGCCCGGUACUGACGCUGAGGUGCGAAAGCGUGGGGAGCAAACAGG